GACGAACGCUGGCGGCGUGCUUAACACAUGCAAGUCGAACGGAAAGGCCCUGCUUUUGUGGGGUGCUCGAGUGGCGAACGGGUGAGUAACACGUGAGUAACCUGCCCUUGACUUUGGGAUAACUUCAGGAAACUGGGGCUAAUACAGGAUAGGAGCUCCUGCUGCACGGGGGGGGUUGGAAAGUUUCGGCGGUUGGGGCUGGUCUCGCGGCUUACGAGCUGGUUGGUGGGGUAGUGGCUUACCAAGGCUUUGACGGGUAGCCGGCCUGGGAGGGUGACCGGCCACAUUGGUACUACGAUACGCCCCAGUCGCCUACGGUACGCAGCAGUGGGGAAUCUUGCACAAUGGGCGGAAGCCUGAUGCAGCAGCGCCGCGUGCGUGAUGACGGCUUUCUGGUUGUAAACCGCUUUCGCCUGUGACGAAGCGUGAGUGACGGUAAUGGGUAAAGAAGCACCGGCUAACUACGUG
rnacentral:rRNA from 1 species